GAGGGAACAGACGAGGAGCUUGCUCCUCUGACGUCAGCGGCGGACGGGUGAGUAACACGUGGAUAACCUACCUAUAAGACUGGGAUAACUUCGGGAAACCGGAGCUAAUACCGGAUAAUAUAUUGAACCGCAUGGUUCAAUAGUGAAAGACGGUUUUGCUGUCACUUAUAGAUGGAUCCGCGCCGCAUUAGCUAGUUGGUAAGGUAACAGCUUACCAAGGCAACGAUGCGUAGCCGACCUGAGAGGGUGAUCGGCCACACUGGAACUGAGACACGGUCCAGACUCCUACGGGAGGCAGCAGUAGGGAAUCUUCCGCAAUGGGCGAAAGCCUGACGGAGCAACGCCGCGUGAGUGAUGAAGGUCUUCGGAUCGUAAAACUCUGUUAUUAGGGAAGAACAAAUGUGUAAGUAACUAUGCACGUCUUGACGGUACCUAAUCAGAAAGCCACGGCUAACUACGUGCCAGCAGCCGCGGUAAUACGUAGGUGGCAAGCGUUAUCCGGAAUUAUUGGGCGUAAAGCGCGCGUAGGCGGUUUUUUAAGUCUGAUGUGAAAGCCCACGGCUCAACCGUGGAGGGUCAUUGGAAACUGGAAAACUUGAGUGCAGAAGAGGAAAGUGGAAUUCCAUGUGUAGCGGUGAAAUGCGCAGAGAUAUGGAGGAACACCAGUGGCGAAGGCGACUUUCUGGUCUGUAACUGACGCUGAUGUGCGAAAGCGUGGGGAUCAAACGGGAUUAGAUACCCUGGUGGUCCACGCCGUAAACGAUGAGUGCUAAGUGUUUAUGGGGUUUCCGCCCCUUAGUGCUGCAGCUAACGCAUUAAGCACUCCGCCUGGGGAGUACGACCGCAAGGUUGAAACUCAAAGGAAUUGACAGGGACCCGCACAAGCGGUGGAGCAUGU
rnacentral:rRNA from 1 species